GGCUCAGAACGAACGCUGGUCGCAGGCUUAACACAUGCAAGUCGAACGGGCCCUUCGGGGACAGUGGCGAACGGGUGCCGAACACGUGAGGAACCUGCCCUGGAGACCGGGACAACAUCGGGAAACCGUUGCUAAUACCGGAUGUCCUCAUCGGACCGCAUGAUCCGAUGAGGAAAUGGAUUCCGCUCCAGGAUGGCCUCGCGGCCUAUCAGCUUGUUGGUGGGGUAACGGCCCACCAAGGCUUCGACGGGUAGCUGGUCUGAGAGGAUGUCCAGCCACACUGGGACUGAGACACGGCCCAAACUCCUACGGGAGGCAGCAGUGGG
rnacentral:rRNA from 1 species